rnacentral:snoRNA from 1 species
AGGCUGCCAGUUAAGCUGACUACGCUCUUUUCUCUGUGGGAGCCUGGUAUGAAUGUUCCUUUCUCUGUGGUAGUGUCUAUGCCUGUUGCUUGUGUGGGUGGCCUUAGAGACAGAU